UGCGGGAAAGGCGGGAUCGGGGAAAGAGAGCAGCAGCUGCUGAGGGUCUGGGGCAGGGGUGUGUUUGGGUGCUUGGGCCUGUCUGUGAAUAUUUUCACGCCGUUUCACUGACACGGUUUAAUGUUUAAUCGUGGGGCAUUGGGUUUUAGUGGUUAAAGGUAGGGAAUUUAAUUGAAAAUGUGCAAAUGACCGUGUUUUCCAUGGUCUGGAAUGGUGCCUACAGGUGGAAGUGUGGUUGCACUGACACCCCGAAGCUUUCGGCUUCGUCCCCCUGCACCAUCCAUCUGCUACAUCUCAGCAGGGAUUUUAUCGAGGAGCUGCCACACAGGCGUCGGUCAGGGCUUUGGGAGGCUUAGCUGAAGUUUUUUGAUAGGCAUGAAAGUCAUUUAGGUCUUGGACACAGAGCAGAAUAGGUUUGUAAUGGUUUAUUUUAAUACUGGACUCGAAUAUACAGUCGCUGAUUAAAGGAGGAGCAAGAGCCAUAAAGCUCUGCACACAUCAGUGAGCUGGGCUGGAACAUCUGUCCAAGGGUCAGAAGGGUGUUCUUGGAGUGAGUGCCUGCUAACACGCUUGGGAAGUCUAAGUUGUGGUUUUCAAGGAAUCUGCUUUCAUCCUUCACCUGGGUGUAACUGUUUGGCUCUCGAAAAUGAAUACUUCAAUACUCUGCACUUACAAAGCCUACGAUGGUUGAAGGCAUGUAUUGCAAAAGUGGAGUGUCCAGAUUUUAAAACAGAUUUGUUUUGGCUGUGGGCUUGUCUACCAUCCAUGGAGAUCUGUGCUAGUGAAAACAGAUGUGGAAGCUGUCUGUGCAGAGGGUGAACUGAGGAGCCUAUGCAGUCAUGCUGGAACAACGUGGACGCUUGGUUCCCUGGGGACAUGAGCAGCACAACGUGAAGGACCCGCUUAGUCACAACCAACUGUUCUGGAAGUGACUUUUCUGACUCCACAGAGUCAUUUGGUUUUUAAUAAAAAAAUACAGUGCUUUAAAAUUGUAAUUACACUUGAGGAAACUGCAUUUGAUUCAGGGAUAUUAUGGAAGCAAUAAAGAGAUUUAAAAGAAA